rnacentral:tRNA from 1 species
ACCCGGCUGAGCUCAGUUGGUAGAGGACAGGACUCUUAGUCUUGGGGUUGUGAGUUCAAGCCCCACGCUGGGUG